AUACGUAGGGCGCGAGCGUUGUCCGGAAUUACUGGGCGUAAAGGGCGCGAAGGCUGCGAUUCAAGUCAACUGUCAAAUUCCGGGGCUUAACCCCGGCCUGCAGUUGAAACUGAAUUGCUCGAGGCGCAGAGAGGCAGACAGAAUUCCUGGUGUAGCGGUGAAAUGCGUAGAUAUCAGGAAGAAUACCAGUGGCGAAGGCGGUCUGCUGGCUGCGAACUGGCGCUCAAGCGCGCAAGCCAGGGGUGCAAACGGGAUUAGAUACCCCGGUAGUCCUGGCAGUAAACGAUGUAUGCUGGGUGUGAGAUCAGUGAUGAUUUCGUGCCGAAGUUAACGCGAUAAGCAUACCGCCUGGGGAGUACGGUCGCAAGAUUGAAACUCAAAUGAAUUGACGGGG
rnacentral:rRNA from 1 species